UAAGAGAAUAAGUGCUAUGAACCUUUUCAUGAUAAUGUCGUAGAACUUAAAUACCACAGCAGGCGUCUGUGCUCUAAGUACCUAGAUGAUGCGAGUUUAUGGUUGUGCAAGGAAUGAAGAUUGGCAAGUCUAGGAAAUGACAGAAAUUGAUGAAAUUUCCCAGUAUUUAUAGCGAAGAGUUCUACCUCAAAUUUCAGCAGGCACUUGUUAUUGGGGUUUUAUAAGUAGGGACUGCAGCAGCUGGAUCUCGUGUCACAUUUCAAUGAUCCAAACCAUUUAUAUGAUGGGCCUCAAAUCAGAUGGGGGUUAAGUAAAAUAACUCUCAGAUUUGGAUAUUUUCUUUGUUACUUCUUUUUCUGUCUUUCUCACAUCAAAUUCCAUUCUGAAUUUGUAGGCUGCUUGGAUGUCCUGCUUACAUUUGGGGCUUAUUCAACAGCUAGAGGCAUGGUGAUCUCAAGGCUGUUUAUUAGAUUCUUUUGGUUUGGACUCAGUUCAGUAUUUGUAACAUAUAUCUACAUGAAGGUUCUGGAGGAAAAGAUAACCGGAACUCAGAUUCUUUCUAUUUUUGGAUUUAUAUUUUUGUAUUGGGAGUUUAUGCUGGCAUACGCAUAUUUCUUGCUUUGCUACUUAAAUUCCCAGCUUGUCACACCUUGUCAGAGAUGUCUGAUCAGUGGUCAUUCUUUCAAUUUUUUAAGUGGAUUUAUCAGGUACUUUUAUAACUCAAAAUUUGAUUUUUGAGUCACUCGAAGCAGGUGACACCAUUGUCCAGUCAAUUACAUCACUCUUGGCCCUAAUAAAAGCCCACAAGGAAUUUCCUGACAUCACUCAUUUUGUUUCUUAAUAGUAAAUGGUUUCCUUAAACCUACCAGUAUUCUAUAUUGGUGAUCUUGUUGGUCUUAGCAGAGCUGGGAUGUACAGCUUUCAUAUUCUUCGACCAUAGCUGGAAAAAUGUGAGUGUUAUCUUUUCAUAUUUCCAUGUCUUCUACUAAUUCUUUUAACAUCUUUGGUCUAACAUCUUUUUCUAAUUGAUCAAGGUAAUCAUAGCAAUAGGAUUUGAAUAUUUGAUUUCUAGAUAC